rnacentral:rRNA from 1 species
CUGGCAUGUCGCGGCAUGUCCUGUCGGUGGUGAACGGGAUUCCCGGUGCUUCGUCGACUUCAUAGUUGGUGUUUGUGCCGUGCGAAGUCCGUUUGCCGAUCUCUCCUACUCCGGUGCUCUUAAACGAGUGUCGAGGUAGGCCGACACGUUCACUUUGAACAAAUUAGAGUGCUUAAAGCAGGCUGAAAUAUCUGCCUGAAUAGUGGUGCAUGGAAUGAUAAAAUAGGACCUCGGUUCUAUUUUGUUGGUUUUAGGAAUGUGAGGUAAUGAUCAAUGUGGACUGGCGGGGGCAUUCGUAUUGCGACGUUAGAGGUGAAAUUCUUGGAUCGUCGCAAGACGCACUAAAGCGAAAGCAUUUGCCAAGUAUGUCUUAAUUGAUCAAGAACGAAAGUUAGAGGUUCGAAGGCGAUCAGAUACCGCCCUAGUUCUAACCAUAAACGAUGCCAGCCAGCGAUCCGCCGAUGUUCCUAUAAUGACUCGGCGGGGAGCUUCUACCCGGGAAACCAAAGCUUUUGGGUUCCGGGGGAAGUAUGGUUGCAAAGCUGAAACUUAAAGGAAUUGACGGAAGGGCACCACCAGGAGUGGAGCCUGCGGCUUAAUUUGACUCAACACGGGAAACCUCACCAGGCCAGGACAUUGGAAGGAUUGACAGAUUGAUAGCUCUUUCUUGAUUCAGUG